UCUAGGUCCUUCCUGGAAACAGGACCCUGUGAGCACAGAAGGAAAUUAAGGUGGGGAGAGUUCUAAGAGGCAGAGAAAGAACGGGGCCCAGGGCUCUCUGUUCUCAGCACUGGCUCCUGCCUGACCUUGGCCUUGGUUGUGGAGUGGAAUCGGGUCACUGCCUGAAGCGCAGUUUAACUGCUGGCUCUGGUUUAAUCUGUACUUUUCCUGGGAAGCUUCUGGCUUGGAAAGGGCAUUCCUGGGGGCUCUGGAAUUGAGAGGGGGUAGGAAGCCAGAGGCCAGACUGCCUCUUUGGAAGGGUCUUUACUGAGGAGCGGAGGGGACCACCGCUAAGUGCCCUGCAGGGACGAUGCCAGCCCCGGGAAGCCGGUGUUGUCAUGAGUUAUGCUGCUGUGUUCCUGUAAUGCAGCCGUCACAGAGUCGAUCCUGAGGACCAUGGAGGGGCCGGGUAUCGACCAGACUCGGUCAAGGAGGAAUCGGGCUGAUUACCAAGACCCCUGCUCACCUGUGCUUGCGUCACAAAGUCACCAUGUCACUUUCAAAGCGCAGGGCCUUCUCCCCAGUGUGUCUCUCUCCUUGAAUUAAAACUCUCGUCCUUGGAUUGAGGGUCCACCCAGCUGGGCCUCCAGCUUGCAGACAGCAGAUCAUGGGCCUGCUUGGCCUCCUCAGUCACGUGACCCGGCUCCUUAUAAUAAACCUCUUCUAUACAUCCAUA